rnacentral:tRNA from 1 species
GCGGGGGUGGCGAAAUGGUAAGCGCACCGAGCUUAAAACUCGGGUCUUUUGGAGUGCUGGUUCGGGUACGGCCGCCUGCACCA